UACACAUACAACUGUUGCCAUUAAACAUUUUAUCGCUCUCAGGUACAAAAAUUACAUACAUGCUCAACAAAUGGGAAAUUAAGUUGCCAAAAGUACGUCAACACAUUUGAAUACAAACAACAUUAAUGACAUAAAUAUAACAUCGACAGUGACAAAGUAAAAUUAAAGUUUGUGCCAUGCCUUCGAGACCUUGGCUUGGUUUGAUUCCUUGUCGCGUUUGAAGCAGUACUCAAUCCACACGAACCUGAGCUCCGACGUUUUGGCAGACUUGUAUGCAAUUUAAUUGUCACUAUGCCUAAAGAACCACUGAAUGAUCAAAUGGAGCUCGUCACCACUGACAACGAGGCCCAUGAAAAGCAAGUCGUUCACACACUCUAGAAUCGUCAUUAGGCCCUUGUCCUUGGAACGAAGGACCAAGGCGAAUUCUCUUGACGUAGUCACCAAGUUGUCAGCAGACUUCGACACUUCCUAGCCCCGAACUUCUUCUUCUUCUUUCCCUUUCCCCUCACCUCCUAACCAUUACACUUUUCCCUGCCUUGCCUGAGGGAAAUAUUCAUUAAAGAGUUGGCUCUGCCCUCUGUUGGCUCGUCACUGGAGUCUGUCGUCUCGGCAUUGAUCGGUAGCCUAUCGUUUGGAUCUUCGGUGUCAUUGUCCAAGCUCAAAUCUAAAUUGCAUUGUGAAAGUUUUGUUGGUGUUAAAACAUACUUUGUGGAGUCAUUAUUGUCACCGAAUAUUCUGUUGUAAAUGUGGUAAAUUUCUCUGUUGUCACUGUCCUUAAACUUUCCAUACUUCGGAUUCUCCUGCACUAGGUUAAUGAUAUCAAUUCCAAGUGCAUAUCACAGUGGGACAUAGUAUGGCAUAGGAUACCCAAAAAAAAAAGAGAGAGAACAAUGAGAUCAUGCAGUUCCACAUUCAACUAAAGCAUAACUAGAAAUUUGCAAAAACAUAAUGCAAUCAGUGGACAUGGGUUUGGAAUAAGUCCUAGAAGUACAUGGUUCCUAGUAGAUUGCAUUUCAGUUUUUGGAAUGACAAGGCAGCUUGUACUGCAUCCUACGAAAUUGGCAACAACAAAGGUAACGUACAACUAUAAAUUACGCAUUCCAAUUGUAUUAUUUUCACAAAAGCAACACAACACGUUAUGAAGAUUCGCAUUAUGUAGUGAGGGUAGUCGGAAAUAGGUGAGGUAUAAUCAUGUUCAACAAGUGUAAAGUGGACAAUCAUAUGGCAAGACAAACAGGGAGUUAUGAUUACGUGCAGUUCAUUAGUACCUUCAAUUUCUGCUUCUACCACCAGUCCGCCACUUUGAUUCUGCCCCCAUUGUUCAACCUAUACUGAAUUCCAGAGCAUCAGAGCAAUUCAAAAAAAGCUCGUGCUCCGUUCGCAUAACUUGCCAGUGGUUUUUGAGCUGAGCGAUCGUCCAAUCCGUCCUAGCCUUCUUGUUCAACAGAUCACGGAUAUGCUCCCAGCAAGUAGCCGAAAAAAACUUACCCCGACAAUGCCCUCAGCAGUCACGUGCUCUGCCGCAGAGAUAAAAAUCUGGUAUUCUCGGGGAUCCUACUUCGCACACUUUUGGGUCUUUGACCUCGUGCCGGAGUGUCGAGGAGGAGAUGCAACUAGCACCGGGUCAAUUAAUGGGGUCAUGUAGCUUUGGAGAAGAAACAGUUGUCAGUCACCAACUUGCCACAAAAAGUGAUUUUCGAUGUGCUAGAAUCUCGUGAAUUCGGUAAGAAGCUUACCGUGCUUUGUGGAUAGUAGCCCCAAUGCGAGACGUCGUUGUCCUUGCUGUGUGGCCCCGACUGGUGGGUCCAAAAGAUAGAGAAAGGAAUCAGCCUAUGAGUUUAUGUCGAGGAGUUGGUGGGCGACUUUCCGGGACAAUGGCAGAACGGGAGCUCUGAACAGUGGAUCGGGCACAAUUGGGCUGCUAUGGAUGCCAUACGUUUAUAUGCAGAAGUGGAUGUCUUUGAUUGCAGCUUCUAUGGUCCAGCAUCUGAGGUCGGUGUUGGCGACGCUUUUGUGAAGUGGAGAUGAGCAAAGUUCAAGACUUAUGGAAAAAAAAAGGUCACAUGCCAUGAAUGGGGAAUAAUUUGGAGUUCAUUUCAAUAAAGGAGGUAUUUUCAUCGGACAAUAAGCAACG
rnacentral:lncRNA from 1 species